rnacentral:rRNA from 1 species
UACGUAGGGUGCGAGCGUUUGUCCGGAAUUAUUGGGCGUAAAGAGCUCGUAGGCGGCCUGUCGCGUCGGAUGUGAAAGCCCGGGGCUUAACCCCGGGUCUGCAUUCGAUACGGGCAGGCUAGAGUUCGGUAGGGGAGAUCGGAAUUCCUGGUGUAGCGGUGAAAUGCGCAGAUAUCAGGAGGAACACCGGUGGCGAAGGCGGAUCUCUGGGCCGAUACUGACGCUGAGGAGCGAAAGCGUGGGGAGCGAACAGG